ACGCUCGACACCUACUGGAGGCAGCAGUCGGGAAUAUUGCGCAAUGGAGGAAACUCUGACGCAGUGACGCCGCGUGCAGGAAGAAGGUUUUCGGAUUGUAAACUGCUUUAGACAGGGAAGAAAGAAAUGACAGUACCUGUAGAAUAAGCUCCGGCUAACUACGUGCCAGUAGCCGCGGUAAUCUGAGCGGGCUGGCAAGGC
rnacentral:rRNA from 1 species